GACGAACGCUGGCGGCGUGCCUAAUACAUGCAAGUCGAGCGGACCGACGGGAGCUUGCUCCCUUAGGUCAGCGGCGGACGGGUGAGUAACACGUGGGUAACCUGCCUGUAAGACUGGGAUAACUCCGGGAAACCGGGGCUAAUACCGGAUGCUUGAUUGAACCGCAUGGUUCAAUCAUAAAAGGUGGCUUUUAGCUACCACUURCAGAUGGACCCGCGGCGCAUUAGCUAGUUGGUGAGGUAACGGCUCACCAAGGCGACGAUGCGUAGCCGACCUGAGAGGGUGAUCGGCCACACUGGGACUGAGACACGGCCCAGACUCCUACGGGAGGCAGCAGUAGGGAAUCUUCCGCAAUGGACGAAAGUCUGACGGAGCAACGCCGCGUGAGYGAUGAAGGUUUUCGGAUCGUAAAACUCUGUUGUUAGGGAAGAACAAGUACCGUUCGAAUAGG
rnacentral:rRNA from 1 species